CGCCUUCCUUUCCGGGGUAGAUCGUGCGUUUACUCGUGCGUUUCUCCUCGCGUUUACUUUGAGAAAAUCAGAGUGUUCAAAGCAGGCCUUUGCCAUUGUAUGUGUUAGCAUGGGAUAAUGGAAUAGGACUCUGGUGCUAUUUUGUUGGUUUCGAACGCCGGGGUAAUGAUUAAUAGGGACAGUCAGGGGCACUCGUAUUCCGUAGAGAGAGGUGAAAUUCUUAGACCCACGGAAGACGCACUACUGCGAAAGCAUUUGCCAGGGAUGUUUUCACUGAUCAAGAACGAAAGUUAGGGGAUCGAAGAUGAUCAGAUACCGUCGUAGUCUUAACCAUAAACCAUGCCGACCAGGGAUUGGUGGGUGUCGUUUUUGACUCCAUCAGCACCUUUCGAGAAAUCAGAGUCUUUGGGUUCCGGGGGGAGUAUGGUCGCAAGGCUGAAACUUAAAGGAAUUGACGGAAGGGCACCACCAGGCGUGG
rnacentral:rRNA from 1 species